CACUGCCGAGAAAAGCCUCUAGAUAGAAAAUAGGUGCCCGUACCGCAAACCGACACAGGUAGUCAAGAUGAGAAUUCUAAGGUGAGCGAGCGAACUCUCGUUAAGGAACUCGGCAAAAUGACCCCGUAACUUCGGGAGAAGGGGUGCUCUUUAGGGUUAACGCCCAGAAGAGCCGCAGUGAAUAGGCCCAAGCGACUGUUUAUCAAAAACACAGGUCUCUGCUAAACCGUAAGGUGAUGUAUAGGGGCUGACGCCUGCCCGGUGCUGGAAGGUUAAGAGGAGUGGUUAGCUUCUGCGAAGCUACGAAUCGAAGCCCCAGUAAACGGCGGCCGUAACUAUAACGGUCCUAAGGUAGCGAAAUUCCUUGUCGGGUAAGUUCCGACCCGCACGAAAGGCGUAACGAUUUGGGCACUGUCUCAACGAGAGACUCGGUGAAAUCAUAGUACCUGUGAAGAUGCAGGUUACCCGCGACAGGACGGAAAGACCCCGUGGAGCUUUACUGUAGCCUGAUAUUGAAAUUCGGCACAGCUUGUACAGGAUAGGUAGGAGCCUUUGAAACGUGAGCGCUAGCUUACGUGGAGGCGCUGGUGGGAUACUACCCUAGCUGUGUUGGCUUUCUAACCCGCACCACUUAUCGUGGUGGGAGACAGUGUCAGGCGGGCAGUUUGACUGGGGCGGUCGCCUCCUAAAAGGUAACGGAGGCGCUCAAAGGUUCCCUCAGAAUGGUUGGAAAUCAUUCAUAGAGUGUAAAGGCAUAAGGGAGCUUGACUGCGAGACCUACAAGUCGAGCAGGGUCGAAAGACGGACUUAGUGAUCCGGUGGUUCCGCAUGGAAGGGCCAUCGCUCAACGGAUAAAAGCUACCCCGGGGAUAACAGGCUUAUCUCCCCCAAGAGUUCACAUCGACGGGGAGGUUUGGCACCUCGAUGUCGGCU
rnacentral:rRNA from 1 species